rnacentral:lncRNA from 1 species
AGUAAAUAAUGUAGUGUGUUUGAAGGAAGAGGUAAAACACCAAACUUAGUACUUUUUUUGUUGUCCCCAUCAUUUCUGCUGGAACGUAAAGGGGUACUGCUGGGAUGCAUCGGUGUGGGCCAGGUAGAGCUGUUGGAUCUGAAGGCAGUUUCUUUGAAGGAUCCUAAUCUGCACAGCUGCAGUCACUAUCAAUCCAUACCCACAGUCCCAAGUCCCACCUUUGGGACUUCCAGCUUUUGGGCUGAAAGUCAGUAAGUUUGGGGAGCAAAGUUGUGAGCCAUAUGAAUGAAACCAUGAGCUUAUCCCAUGGGAAAGAAAUGUGGAUGUGCUGCACUUCAGCAGGGAUCUUGGAUUGUCUGACCAGGCCUGUUCUACUGGCUUGUCCUAUAGAUCCAAAGCAGGAAUGAUCCCGGUGCUGACUCCUCCAUCGCUCUGGAAGGAGUGUUACAGAGAACACAGAACAGUUUGUGAAGAUGAAACCAGGACUGCUGUCUUUUGUUUUGACGCUUUGCUGUGUUCUGGGAUCACAGGUGUUACUACAAGAUUCCAGUUUUUCACUGGGGAGAAUCCAAGUGUUUCAAGUGAGUUCAAGCAGAAUUUCGCUGCGUUGAACUGGCCUGAUUUGGGAUGCAAACCGACCUCUGAAACACCGAAAUUUCCCGUGGGAGCAGAAAUUCGGAAUUCUGCUCAGCUCCAGUUACUCUGUGCAUGGAAAUGGCCUCAAGCAAACAAACAGCGCAGACAGGAGAUGCGCCUGAAAGCUGACACUGGUGGAUGCUUUACAAACCAAGCCCAUGCUGGAAAGGAGCUGCAAGACCCUUGGGAAGCCCUCAUCACCUCCACGCUGUGACCUAUUACUGGAGACCCUCCGUGGGUUGUUGAGGCUGUGUUGGUCACACUAUGUUAUAUUUUAUCACAGCAAAACCGUGGUGUGGUUAAAUAACUCCACAGUAUCAUCUGGCUAAACAAGUGCUCCGACAUUUUGGGAAAUGAAACCUGAGCUUCUUGUGUACCAGCCCAGCAAGUGCCCUCUGAAGCUUGUUUGUAAACUGAGUGGGCAUUUGGCUCUUCUGGGGGUCAGGGACACAUGGUUGUAAAAGCACUCGGAUGAAUGAGAGUCCUGAACUGCCAGUGGCCCUGGAUGAUCCUACAAGGCACUUACUGUAUUUCAAAGACAAUGGAGGACGAAUGAGGCUGGGCUCUUGUCUGGACUCUGGAUGCUUCUCCUGUGGUUAAGGUAUUAUACACAAAGAAUAAAGAAUUUUUAUGCCUUCCA